CCUACGGGAGGCAGCAGUGGGGAAUAUUGGACAAUGGGCGAAGGCCUGAUCCAGCCAUGCCGCGUGUGUGAAGAAGGCCUUCGGGUUGUAAAGCACUUUCAGUGGGGAAGAAAGCCUUGGGGCUAAUACCCUCGAGGAAGGACAUCACCCACAGAAGAAGCACCGGCUAACUCCGUGCCAGCAGCCGCGGUAAUACGGAGGGUGCGAGCGUUAAUCGGAAUUACUGGGCGUAAAGCGCGCGUAGGCGGUCUGAUAAGCCGGUUGUGAAAGCCCCGGGCUCAACCUGGGAACGGCAUCCGGAACUGUCAGGGUAGGGUGCAAGAGAGGAAAGUAGAAUUCCCGGUGUAGCGGUGAAAGGCGUAGAGAUCGGGAGGAAUACCAGUGGCGAAGGCGGCCUUCUGGACUGACACUGACGCUGAGGUGCGAAAGCGUGGGUAGCAAACAGGAUUAGAUACCCCGGUAGUC
rnacentral:rRNA from 1 species